rnacentral:rRNA from 1 species
AAUCCAUAGGUUAAUGAGGCGAACCGGGGGAACUGAAACAUCUAAGUACCCCGAGGAAAAGAAAUCAACCGAGAUUCCCCCAGUAGCGGCGAGCGAACGGGGAGGAGCCCAGAGCCUGAAUCAGCAUGUGUGUUAGUGGAAGCGUCUGGAAAGGCGCGCGAUACAGGGUGACAGCCCCGUACACAAAAGCGCAUGUGCUGUGAGCUCGAUGAGUAGGGCGGGACACGUGGUAUCCUGUCUGAAUAUGGGGGGACCAUCCUCCAAGGCUAAAUACUCCUGACUGACCGAUAGUGAACCAGUACCGUGAGGGAAAGGCGAAAAGAACCCCGGCGAGGGGAGUGAAAAAGAACCUGAAACCGUGUACGUACAAGCAGUGGGAGCACAGGUUUACCUGUGUGACUGCGUACCUUUUGUAUAAUGGGUCAGCGACUUAUAUUCUGUAGCAAGGUUAACCGUAUAGGGGAGCCGGAGGGAAACCGAGUCUUAAUUGGGCGUUAAGUUGCAGGGUAUAGACCCGAAACCCGGUGAUCUAGCCAUGGGCAGGUUGAAGGUUGGGUAACACUAACUGGAGGACCGAACCGACUAAUGUUGAAAAAUUAGCGGAUGACCUGUGGCUGGGGGUGAAAGGCCAAUCAAACCGGGAGAUAGCUGGUUCUCCCCGAAAGCUAUUUAGGUAGCGCCUCGUGAAUUCAUCUCCGGGGGUAGAGCACUGUUUCGGCUAGGGGGCCAUCCCGGCUUACCAACCCGAUGCAAACUGCGAAUACCGGAGAAUGUUAUCACGGGAGACACACGGCGGGUGCUAACGUCCGUCGUGAAGAGGGAAACAACCCAGACCGCCAGCUAAGGUCCCAAAGUCAUGGUUAAGUGGGAAACGAUGUGGGAAGGCCCAGACAGCCAGGAUGUUGGCUUAGAAGCAGCCAUCAUUUAAAGAAAGCGUAAUAGCUCACUGGUCGAGUCGGCCUGCGCGGAAGAUGUAACGGGGCUAAACCAUGCACCGAAGCUGCGGCAGCGACACUGUGUGUUGUUGGGUAGGGGAGCGUUCUGUAAGCCUGUGAAGGUGUGUCGUGAGGCAUGCUGGAGGUAUCAGAAGUGCGAAUGCUGACAUAAGUAACGAUAAAGCGGGUGAAAAGCCCGCUCGCCGGAAGACCAAGGGUUCCUGUCCAACGUUAAUCGGGGCAGGGUGAGUCGACCCCUAAGGCGAGGCCGAAAGGCGUAGUCGAUGGGAAACGGGUUAAUAUUCCCGUACUUGGUGUUACUGCGAAGGGGGGACGGAGAAGGCUAUGUUGGCCGGGCGACGGUUGUCCCGGUUUAAGCGUGUAGGUGUGUGUUCCAGGUAAAUCCGGUUCACUUUAACACUGAGGCGUGACGACGAGGCACUACGGUGCUGAAGCAACAAAUGCCCUGCUUCCAGGAAAAGCCUCUAAGCAUCAGGUAACAUCAAAUCGUACCCCAAACCGACACAGGUGGUCAGGUAGAGAAUACCAAGGCGCUUGAGAGAACUCGGGUGAAGGAACUAGGCAAAAUGGUGCCGUAACUUCGGGAGAAGGCACGCUGACACGUAGGUGAAGUGAUUUACUCAUGGAGCUGAAGUCAGUCGAAGAUACCAGCUGGCUGCAACUGUUUAUUAAAAACACAGCACUGUGCAAACACGAAAGUGGACGUAUACGGUGUGACGCCUGCCCGGUGCCGGAAGGUUAAUUGAUGGGGUCAGCGCAAGCGAAGCUCCUGAUCGAAGCCCCGGUAAACGGCGGCCGUAACUAUAACGGUCCUAAGGUAGCGAAAUUCCUUGUCGGGUAAGUUCCGACCUGCACGAAUGGCGUAAUGAUGGCCAGGCUGUCUCCACCCGAGACUCAGUGAAAUUGAACUCGCUGUGAAGAUGCAGUGUACCCGCGGCAAGACGGAAAGACCCCGUGAACCUUUACUAUAGCUUGACACUGAACAUUGAGCCUUGAUGUGUAGGAUAGGUGGGAGGCUUUGAAGCGUGGACGCCAGUCUGCGUGGAGCCGACCUUGAAAUACCACCCUUUAAUGUUUGAUGUUCUAACGUGGACCCGUAAUCCGGGUUGCGGACAGUGUCUGGUGGGUAGUUUGACUGGGGCGGUCUCCUCCUAAAGAGUAACGGAGGAGCACGAAGGUUGGCUAAUCCUGGUCGGACAUCAGGAGGUUAGUGCAAUGGCAUAAGCCAGCUUGACUGCGAGCGUGACGGCGCGAGCAGGUGCGAAAGCAGGUCAUAGUGAUCCGGUGGUUCUGAAUGGAAGGGCCAUCGCUCAACGGAUAAAAGGUACUCCGGGGAUAACAGGCUGAUACCGCCCAAGAGUUCAUAUCGACGGCGGUGUUUGGCACCUCGAUGUCGGCUCAUCACAUCCUGGGGCUGAAGUAGGUCCCAAGGGUAUGGCUGUUCGCCAUUUAAAGUGGUACGCGAGCUGGGUUUAGAACGUCGUGAGACAGUUCGGUCCCUAUCUGCCGUGGGCGCUGGAGAACUGAGGGGGGCUGCUCCUAGUACGAGAGGACCGGAGUGGACGCAUCACUGGUGUUCGGGUUGUCAUGCCAAUGGCACUGCCCGGUAGCUACAUGCGGAAGAGAUAAGUGCUGAAAGCAUCUAAGCACGAAACUUGCCCCGAGAUGAGUUCUCC